rnacentral:sRNA from 1 species
UGUUGCGUAUUAUACUUAUUGGCUUAGUAAACGCAACAAAUAAUUAAUAGGCGACUUUAUAAGCCAGCAUCGAAAAAAUCCCCACACUACUGCAAUAGUGUGGGGAUUGGUGCAUUAAU